AGCUAGUUGGUAGGGUAAAGGCCUACCAAGGCGACGAUCCGUAGCGGGUCUGAGAGGAUGAUCCGCCACACUGGGACUGAGACACGGCCCAGACUCCUACGGGAGGCAGCAGUGGGGAAUUUUGGACAAUGGGCGCAAGCCUGAUCCAGCCAUUCCGCGUGAGUGAAGAAGGCCUUCGGGUUGUAAAGCUCUUUCGGCAGGAACGAAACGGUGGGGGCCAAUACCCCCUGCUAAUGACGGUACCUGAAGAAGCACCGGCUAACUACGUGCCAGCAGCCGCGGUAAUACGUAGGGUGCUAGCGUUAAUCGGAAUUACUGGGCGUAAAGCGUGCGCAGGCGGUUAUGUAAGACAGAUGUGAAAUCCCCGGGCUUAACCUGGGAACUGCGUUUGUGACUGCAUAACUUGAGUGUGGCAGAGGGGGGUGGAAUUCCACGUGUAGCAGUGAAAUGCGUAGAGAUGUGGAGGAACACCGAUGGCGAAGGCAGCCCCCUGGGUCAACACUGACGCUCAUGCACGAAAGCGUGGGUAGCAAACAGGAUUAGAUACCCUGGUAGUCCACGCCCUAAACGAUGCGAACUAGGUGUUGGGGAAGGAGACUUUCUUAGUACCGCAGCUAACGCGUGAAGUUCGCCGCCUGGGGAGUACGGUCGCAAGAUUAAAACUCAAAGGAAUUGACGGGGACCCGCACAAGCGGUGGAUGAUGUGGAUUAAUUCGAUGCGACGCGAAAAACCUUACCUACCCUUGACAUGCCAGGAAUCCCGGAGAGAUUUGGGAGUGCUCGAAGGAGAACCUGGACACAGGUGCUGCAUGGCUGUCGUCAGCUCGUGUCGUGAGAUGUUGGGUUAAGUCCCGCAACGAGCGCAACCCUUGUCAUUAGUUGCCAUCAUUUAGUUGGGCACUCUAAUGAGACUGCCGGUGACAAACCGGAGGAAGGUGGGGAUGACGUCAAGUCCUCAUGGCCCUUAUGGGUAGGGCUUCACACGUCAUACAAUGGUCGGUACAGAGGGUUGCCAAGCCGCGAGGUGGAGCCAAUCCCACAAAGCCGAUCGUAGUCCGGAUCGGAGUCUGCAACUCGACUCCGUGAAGUCGGAAUCGCUAGUAAUCGUGGAUCAGCAUGUCACGGUGAAUACGUUCCCGGGUCUUGUACACACCGCCCGUCACACCAUGGGAGUGGGUUUCACCAGAAGUAGGUAGCCUAACCGCAAGGGGGGCGCUUACCACGGUGGGAUUCAUGACUGGGGUGAAGUCGAAACAAGGUAGCCGUAGGGGAACCUGCGGCUG
rnacentral:rRNA from 1 species